GAAGAAAGAUAUAAAAAACAGAAGAGUCGCUCGUCAAUACAAAGUUUGCAUUGUAGGCUGAUUUCCGAACUGACUUUAACAAAGGAGAAGGUUCCCGUGAUCGGAUCUACGUAGUAGAGUAGAGGGGUGGUAUAUAAAGAGAGGUUACUUAUCUGGCCCAGGCGCGUAGAGUAGAAGGUUAGGGUGGAUAAGAUAAGAACUAGCUCAGGGCUGAGGAUCGGCGGCCUUAUCUCGAAGCCGCGGUUCUACCCGGAGCUCCCAAGCGGGCCUACUCUAGCGAAGCGGCCGCGGGACGCAGCCGAAACGGGGAGUCAGCAUGUCGGGCAGCACGUCGGGGAGUCGGCGAGAAGGGAAACGGGGCCGCACUUCUUGUUGCUAGACAGCUAGAUCAACCACACCGACACUGUCCUCUCUUAUGCUCCCCGAGGAACGUCGACCCGAGAUGAACGGAGAUGGUUUGAUAAAAGAAAAGAAAUGAGUACAAGCGAUACGAGAGAGUUAGUCUGGCUUUGUAAUGGUAACCGCAGUUACAAGGGCAGUCAUUCAAGUUAGUCUAAACCUAAAAUAAGUCUCGUCAAAACUAGAUAUAAAGGUUCUCGUCAAAACUAGAUAUAAAGGUUCUCGUCAAAACUAGAUAUAAAAAGCAGCUGGAUGGUUAUAACACAAUGACUUCCUUUUACCUUACUUAUUCUACUUUCACUCCAUUGUAAUUACCGGUGUCUAUCACUAGCACAGACCACACCGUUUCCAUUGGGUAAGUAGUAAAAAACCACUCUGGUGUAUUGACUUCACUCUGAAAAUGGUGACUAAAAAACCUCUACGAAACAAGCUACAUCAACGAGUUACGAAAUACUAUACAGCACGAAGUGUUGACUUUGUGCGAAAAUGGUGACUAAAAAACUUCUACGAAACAAGUUACAUCAACGAGUUACGAAAUACUAUAUACAGCACGAAGUGUUGACUUUGUGCGAAGUGACGGAGGAGAACAGACAACCGUUCGGCGUAGGUUUGUCUUCCUCGAGCGUAACCUCGUCACCUCGACGUGAUGAGCUCGAACGAGAGUGGCGUUAGAUACGUAUACGUAACGUAGUUGUAGAUUAGGACCAUAUCCGUGUCGGAAGACUACACUCUAACCGUGUCGGUUAAAACCAUUCCGUGCACUACUUACAGUUAAGGGGUCAAAUACGAACUGCUAUGAAAAGUAAACAUACAAAUAGCACGAAUCAAUUAAUACCGCUAGAGUACCAGAGGGGGGUAGAGAUAGGAAAAAACCCAAUACUACACUAACACUUUUAGGGGGUAGUAGUGUUCCAUCCAUUUUCAAGUAUAAUCUGGUAAAUUUAGGUAUUCCGCUCCGAUUGACGUAAAGUUAGACGUCUCAAUAACUCGUAUUUAAUUAUUAAUUCCCUUAUGGACAUACAUACACAACACGAUGUCUUCUAUGGGGUAACCUGACAGUUUCCACUCUAAAGUCAAUUCAGGUAUUCGGCUCCGAUUGACGUAAAUUAAAACCAAACAACAAGUUGGGAUUAUCCUUUCUACUCGAACGAUCGAACCUGGUUCCGACGUACUCCUUCCGGUAGUUGACCUUAUCAAACCUGCAGUUCAUUGAUCUUAAACCAAGUAAAGUAUGUGUUUAGUAGAAGAAACGACCAUUUUCAUUGUUUGAUGGUUAUAGUGGUAUAAUACGUAUACUAAAAUGACAAAAAGAAACAUAACUCGUAACGAGGCACUCGAUGUAUUUAAGAAGUAAAAAAUAGAUAUAAGCGUAUGAUGAUACAACGUUUGAAAAUCGGUAACUUCAGAGGUCUCGUAAACAAUAAUCGUAUCGAAACGACCGUUUAGACAAACAAGAGCGCAUGGUUUUUUAUAGAUACUACUUUCACCAUAUGCUGUAGAACGAACCACUAAUUUACAAUAACAUUAAAACCAAACCUAUCUGUUUCACAACACGUUUUAUAUUAUUGUAAACAUGACAUUAUCAAGUAUGAAUAGUAUGAAAGACGGUACAUUAAAAAUAUACAUAUAUAUGACAAGUGUAAACGGUUUUCGAACUCGUUGGGUUCGUUUCAAAGUAGACCAACAAACCAGGUUGAUAGUAACAAAGAUUCGUUUAAUAUAUGUAAAGACCUAAGUAUACGUACAUACUAGGAUGGGGUAGGUAAUAAACAAAGUAAAAUCUAUCCUAACUGACUUUAAUCGUAAAAUGAAGUACUUUGAGUGUUAUAUACGUGAUUUUAAGGGCGUCGUUGCGCGACCCAAAGGAAGAUCAACACAUUUUUCAAUGCAUGCACAAGCGACACUUGAAGGCUGGUCCAGCUUAGGGAUCGGGUGCGGUGCUGCGGUAAACAAGGAGCAGUCCUUGGGAUCGGCGCGGUCGGGCGGCGGCGGGGCGGCCGUCGGGAGGCGCCGGGAGAGGAGGAGGCAGGCAGGGCGGCAGCGGAAGGAGAGGAGGAAAGGCAGCUGGAGAAGCGGCGGCAACCGGACGAAACGGCCCGACGUCGGGGUAGACCCGCGAGCCCGGCAUCAGAAACGCCUCCUUUGGUCGGCUCGUCAGGUCAGGUGUGUGUGGGGUCCGGGCGAAGACCGGGUAUACGGCCGCUGUUGGUUGGCCUGGUCUCGAGGAGCUGUCUGUGUCUGUGUCGCGGAGGGUUCGGGAUUGCCGUUGUGGUUGUGGCCGGUGCGCCGCCGGCCGAGUGGCAUCGGCAGGGGAGCGCGAGCGGAAGCGGUCGCGCCGUCGCGGCAGGCAGCCACAGCGUGGGCGGUGGUGGAGAAGGGGGAGAGGGAAGGCGGCGGCGUUGGCGCGUCGACGGUGUCGGUGAGCGGCGGCUGUGGUUUGGCGCGGCGGGCCGGCGGAGGACGACAAGGCGCGAGCAGGGAACGGCACGUAUACCUGCUUCUCGCGCACCUUGCCCUUCCGGCGGCGGAGUUCUUCUUCCGCUUCGUAGCACUACUUCUCCCCUUCCGCUUCCUAUUUAACUUCGCAGCGUGUCUACUUUUCCGUUGACUCCGACUAAGCCAGCGUCUUUUUCAAUUCCUCCUCCGACACCAUCCGCGACGCCUCCUCUUUCUUCCGGUGUUCGCGUUCUUUCCCUUCCCGGCGUCACUCCUCUGCUUCUCGUUCCUCUUACAAGGUCAGCAAAGUCCAUCGUAUCUCUUGCCACAACCACUCCUCGUCCGGUUCUUCAGCCCGAGCUACCGCGGAACAAGCCUCCCACGGUACUUGUUUCUGUUACACUUCUUUCUGUUCUUCUCUUCCUUCCUCCUCUUCUUCUUUCUCUUUCUUCGACUAUACUGACUCGUCUUCGUCUCAAAACUAUGAUGACAACCAUUCCUCGUUCGACUUUGAAGACCGAACUACCUCCAUUGCGGGACAAACCUCGAGCGGGUCCCGCUAUACUCGUUUCUGUUCCACUUCUUUCAGUUCUUCUUUUUCUUCCUUCUCUUUCUUCGACUCUUCUGACCCGUCGUCUUCGUCUGUAAACUAUGAUGACAACCUUUAAGUCCCCGUUUCAUACGUCUCCCUCUGUUCCAACUCCCUUUUGUCAGAUCGUUCCGUUUCUUCUCGUUUGCGUUCUCACUACUACCACGUGGACGACGACUAGUUUAGCACUGUUCUCUUAUGUUCUUCUUUUUCUUCCUCGUAAGUCAACACGACCUUCUCUCGUCGGUUUGGCUUUUAUCGUUACUUCCACUCUUAUCUCUCUAAUUCUUCCCUCCUUUCCUUUCCUCAUUUCGGUCAGGUCUGAAAUCACUCUUACGUAGACGACCCCCUCUCCUUCGACCACAUCUACCAUUACUACUAUUCUUCUUUUUCUUCUCGUUCCCCUAACCUCCUCCCUUUUUUCUCUUUCUUUUCAGUCAAGCCAGUUGUUUCCCAUUCGUCCACUCAAAACGACUAAGGCGCCUCUACAAAUCUUGGCUUCCACCACUACCCCUCCCCUAACCUCCUCCUUUUGUCUUCCUUUUCCGUCGAGACAGUUUCUUCUUUCCAUUCGCCCACUCGAAACGAUUAAGACGCCUCCACAAAUCGUAACUUCCACCACUAUUACUUCUCCUACCGUAGUCGUUACUUAGCUUUUCACACGUACCAGCUAAAUGGGGUCUCCUUCUGCGGCGGGAGUACCUUCGAUACUCCCCAAUGCGUCUCUACUUCGUUGACCCUCUCUUUCCAAAUCUCUACUAACCCAGAACAGCAUUUAUAGGUCUCGAUUUCCCAACAACCCUACUAUAUCGCUUUAGCAAUGGGGUAUCUGGAAUGAACCGGUAUAUGUCCGCUCGUGUAUGUAAUGAGGUAUCCUCGUGGCCUACAUUUACCUGUCUACUUCUUUUUCUCGUCUAAGCCGCCAAACAGCUCUUUUUACCGUGCCUAACCUUUUGUGACCGUGUCCUUGAACCUUUCUCACUCUAGGUACAUUUUGUACGAACCUCUUCUUAUUUUGGAUUCUUCUUUUUUCCACGACUACUACUUCUCCUACAGUCACCACCACUUAGACUUGAACAUGUACCUGUAGCCAAAUGGUGUCUCCUUCUACGGUAGGAGUACCUUCGAUACUCCCUAAUGCGUCUCGACUUUGUUGACCCUCUCUUUCCGAAUCUCUACUAACCCAGAACAUCAUUUAUGGGUCUCGAGUUCCCAACAACCCUACUAUAUCGCUUCAGCAAUGGGGUAUCUGGAGUGCUCCGGUAUAUGGUAGCUCGCGCAUAUAAUGAGAUAUCCUCACGACUUGCAUUUACCUGUCUACUGCUUUUUCUCGUCUAAGCCGCCAAACAGCUUUCGUUACCUUGCCUAACCUUCUGUAACCGUGCCCUUGAACCUUUCUCACUCUAGGUGCAUUUUCUAUGAACCUCUUCUUAUUUUGGAUUCUUGAACUUUUUUCCUGCAACCUGAGUCCUACUUGUGGUUUUGAACAAACUAAACCACUUGGAACUGAACGCAGACUUUCGGGUAGUUUAGUUUUUAGGACUAGUAGCCGACGAUUCUCUAUUGUAAAGGACCCUCCGGUAGUCACUAUUUAACUGGUGGGCAUUAGUGUUCUUAACAACGGAGUUCACCAUGCUUUGUAAUCGUAGAGGCUACCAGUUCCUUCCUCAGACCCGACUACAACUACUAAUAGAUGACCACCUUCGCGAAGUUUUCCAACUACGACAGACAUAACUUCUACAACUGACCCUGUCGGAUGAACUAGUGUCCAGACCCCUCCAAACAGCAGUUUCUACCUUGGUCUACCAGGCGCGGAAAGUAGCUUGUUCACCUUCACGACAGCUCCGCGAUGACGGGUCUUUACUAACUUAUGUCCUUCACUCCUUUUUCACAUCCUUAAUAGUGGGCAGUUUGAACAUUCGGGUCUGUUUUGUCGUUCGUACUACACAGUUUAGAACGAGCAGUGAAGGUACCAUACACCUCAUCGGGCAUCCUACGGUCCGAACGCCCUAAAUACCCCACAUCUUUACAUAGUUGCCAUGUACCAAGUGGUCACUCGUUCGAUCCAAUACUAAAACAAAAGGAAGAUAACAGGAGUGCUUGUAGAAAUGAGUUUGGACUUAUGUACUAGUGAAGUCCCUGAGGUG
rnacentral:rRNA from 1 species